CAGCCGCCGCGGGAAUACAGAGGGUGCGAGCGUUAAUCGGAUUUACUGGGCGUAAAGCGUGCGUAGGCGGCUUCUUAAGUCGGAUGUGAAAUCCCUGAGCUUAACUUAGGAAUUGCAUUCGAUACUGGGAAGCUAGAGUAUGGGAGAGGAUGGUAGAAUUCCAGGUGUAGCGGUGAAAUGCGUAGAGAUCUGGAGGAAUACCGAUGGCGAAGGCAGCAAUCUGGCCUAAUACUGACGCUGAGGUACGAAAGCAUGGGGAGCAAACAGGAUUAGAUACCCCGGUAGUCCCUGUCUCUUAUAC
rnacentral:rRNA from 1 species